GACGAACGCUGGCGGCGUGCUUAACACAUGCAAGUCGAACGAUGAACCCGGAGCUUGCUCUGGGGGAUUAGUGGCGAACGGGUGAGUAACACGUGAGUAACCUGCCCUGGACUCUGGGAUAAGCGUUGGAAACGACGUCUAAUACCGGAUAGGACCUUGGAUCGCAUGAUCUGGGGUGGAAAGUUUUCUCGGUCUGGGAUGGACUCGCGGCCUAUCAGCUUGUUGGUGAGGUAAUGGCUCACCAAGGCGUCGACGGGUAGCCGGCCUGAGAGGGUGACCGGCCACACUGGGACUGAGACACGGCCCAGACUCCUACGGGAGGCAGCAGUGGGGAAUAUUGCACAAUGGGCGAAAGCCUGAUGCAGCAACGCCGCGUGCGGGAUGACGGCCUUCGGGUUGUAAACCGCUUUUAGUAGGGAAGAAGGGCUUCGGCUUGACGGUACCUGCAGAAAAAGGACCGGCUAACUACGUG
rnacentral:rRNA from 1 species